rnacentral:rRNA from 1 species
GACGAACCGUGCGAACGUUGUUCGGAAUCACUGGGCUUAAAGGGCGCGUAGGCGGUCGAGUACGUCCGGGGUGAAAGCCUCCAGCUCAACUGGAGAAGUGCCUCGGAUACGGCUCGACUCGAGGGGGGUAGGGGCGUGUGGAACUUCCGGUGGAGCGGUGAAAUGCGUAGAUAUCGGAAGGAACGCCGGUGGCGAAAGCGGCACGCUGGACCCCAUCUGACGCUGAGGCGCGAAAGCCAGGGGAGCAAACGGG